rnacentral:rRNA from 1 species
UACGUAGGGGGCUAGCGUUGUCCGGAAUCAUUGGGCGUAAAGCGCGUGUAGGCGGCCCGGUAAGUCCGCUGUGAAAGUCGGGGGCUCAACCCUCGAAAGCCGGUGGAUACUGUCGGGCUCGAGUGCGGAAGAGGCGAGUGGAAUUCCUGGUGUAGCGGUGAAAUGCGCAGAUAUCAGGAGGAACACCAAUUGCGAAGGCAGCUCGCUGGGACGUUACUGACGCUGAGACGCGAAAGCCAGGGGAGCGAACGGG